GCCUUCAUGAAGCCGGAAUUGCUAGUAAUGGCAGGUCAGCAUACUGCCGUGAAUACGUUCCCGGGCCUUGUACACACCGCCCGUCACACCAUGAGAGUUGGAGAUACCCGAAGCCUGUGAGCUAACAAACGAGGCAGCAGUCGAAGGUAGAAUCAAUGAUUGGGGUGAAGUCGUAACAAGGUAUC
rnacentral:rRNA from 1 species